rnacentral:lncRNA from 1 species
UUGAACACUUACCAUAUCCUUUCAAAUUCAUGUCCGUUGAACCAUUAGAAUAUCAUUGGAUACGCGGGAUAGCUCACACGAAGUGUGCUAAUCAUAGAAUCGUAAUCUUUCCUGUCAUAUACACAGUUGCUCACACGAGUUGUGAAAUAGGUAUGCUCACACGAGCUAUGAAAUAUCCGCAACACAUGCCAGACCUCAGCUAUCGAUAGGACAUUCAAGACCAACACCUGAAACAUGUAAACCCUAAUGACAUGUCAUUUGUAUCCUACGAAUUCCUAAGUUUCAAACAGGGCUCGAUAGACGUCGUAACAUCGUUGGAUUUGCAUCGAUCAUUUACAUAGCAAUCCAUAAUUUACAUAUAGCUCAAAAGAUAGCAUUAAAACAUAACAUAAUUACACGAACUUACAACAACGAUAAAGGCGUAGAAACGGAGUUGACUAAUUCGAAGCUUUUUCUUUACCCCAAUCUAAAGCUGUACGAGGUCUAUUUUGAUCUAAAUAAAUGAAUUCAAUCUAUUUAAUAACUAUUCUAUUCAAUUCAAUCCAAUCCAAAUUCUUUUUUUUGUAGAAUUACGCUUUUCCCCUAUUAUUUUAAUUUCAUUUUAAUUUAGUCCUUAAGCUCGUAAUUUGAAAUUCAUGCAAUUUCAACCCUACACAAGCUAGCCAAAUUUCAUAUAGGUCCAUAUCAACUCAUAAAAUUCAUUAUUUCACAAUUUUCACCAUGCAUUUUACACAUUUUACAAAUAAAUCCUUAUUUGACAUUUUCAACAAAAUUCACUUUACAAAAGUUGUUUAUCUAUCAACAAAGAUUCAUUUUCUUCCAUCAAACAUCAAAAACCACAUGAAUACAUUCAUGGCAAAACGCUAACCUUUUAACAAUUUUGCAAAUUAGUCCCUAGGCUAGCUAGAUUGAGUUACAACAACUCCAAAAACAUAGAAAUAAUUAAAAACAGGAUGAAAAAUGCUUACAUGCAAGAGGAAGAGAUGAUCGGAUGCUUCAAAGCCCUAAAUGUUCUUUCUUUUUCUUCAAUUUCGAUGGUAUCACCCAAGGUUUAAGAUGAUACAUCUUUUACAUAAUUUUAAUUAUGAUAUUUUCAUUUAAUUACUUUUAUAACCUUUUGUUUUUAACCGCAACCUCAUUUAAUUAAUGUUCAUAUUUGUCCACUCAAUAUAAAAAUGGUAUAAUUACCACUUAAAUCCCUUAACCAUUUAAUUUCAUAGCCAUUUAGUACCUUUAACUUAUAGAACUCAAAUUUUGCACCUUUUACGAUUUAAUACUUUUCAUCCAAUCAAACAUGCAAAUGAUAAAAAAAAAUUUAACGAAAUUUUUAUACGACCUUGCUAACAUAAUUUAGACAUUAAAAUAAUAAUAAAAUAAAUAUUCUCACAUCAGAUUUGUGGUCUUGAAACCACUGUUCCGAUUUCAUUAAAAAUGGGCUGUUACAUUUCCAAUAAAGCCAAGUGUUAUUACUAGACGAUAUUAUUCCUAGCUUUAUAUUAUUAAUAUAUUUUGUUCUAAGAAGGAACUCUAAAGCUCAAUAAAAAAAGUCAUCUAUUAUUAUUCAUAUCUACAUCAAUAAAGCUUAUAAUCUUUUUCUAUUUAUCUUCUAUUGAGUCACCAAAUAUGGUCAUUAUCACAUGGGCUCUUAAGUCUAGUCUUGACAUUCCCUAUAUCCCAACUAUUAUUAAUCCUAAAUGAGUAUAAUUCAUUUUAUUUUCUUGAAGCAUUUUACAGGAUUCUUUUCUUAAUAAUGGUAUUAGAACUGUUUCAUUAUCUCCACAUUUUAUAAAAGUUUCUGUUGGUUUUUGUAUAAGUUGUGGCUUUUCUCAAAAUCUUCCUUUUCUAUAUAGAAUAUGUGGGUUAAAAUGUUUACGAUUUGCUUGUUUAAAGUUUUCUAGAUCUUUCUCUAAGUCUAUUACUUCUACUAGUUUUAUUUCUUCAAUUUUCUUUUUGGUACUAAAUACUCUCUUAAAUAUAUUAUUUUCUUUUUCUGUAUGGGUUCCAUAGCUGCUAGAACCCUCGUAUAUAGAUUUAGACUGUUCUAAAAAGGGUUUAAACAUUUUGAUCGUCUUUUAUAAGUUUGUUUUUAUCGUUCAUUAUAACAUUAUGCGGUGGAUCGUAAAUGUUAAAGUUUCUACUAACCGAAGUUUGAUCGGUUUGUACUGGUUCUAUAAUAGUAGGUUGUCUAUUUAAAACUUACUUAAACCAGUCUUGAAAUAGUAGGUUGUCUAUUUAAAACUUACUUAAACCAAUCUUGAAUUUUAGCAGCCCAUUUUCCAAUGGUAUCGGAAACAAUAUCAUUUUUAUUUCUUGUUUUGUUCAACCAAAAAUGCCAUUGUUGUUUAAGGUAAGUUUGGCCAAGUUAUUUCUCCUUUCAUGUAAGUCAAUUUUGAGUUAUUUUGUAAAGUGAUUUUGUAUAAUUUUUAAGUUUGGGGAUUUAAUUGGAAAUAAAAUAAUUAUAACAUGUUUUUCUUGUGAAAUUUCAACUUGUGAGAACUGAUUUGGGGUGAUUAUGCAUUCAGUUCUAUGGGUAUAAAGUUUAAUUGUGAAAAUAAUCUUGUUUUGGUCUUAAAUAUCAAAUUGAAUAAAGUGUAAAAGUUUGGGGAAAAUGUGAAAAAUUGUAAAUAGGAAGACAUGCAUUAAAUUGAAUAUUAUAUGAAAUUGAAGCUAAUACAUCGAAAUAAACUACUUUAUAGAUCAAGAACCAAUAGAAAAUUAUGGAAAAGAGAAAAUUGCUACUCCUCCCUAAUUUUGCUAUUUAUGCAAUUUAGCCCUAAUAAGUCCAAAAUGUUUAAUUUUAGUAUAACUUAUAAUAUUAUUGUGACUUGCAAUUUGUUAAAAUAUGUAUAUGUAUUAAAUUGUCUCAAUUGAAUUCAAGAUGAGAAAUGUAAUUGAACUGUUAAGUAUUAUGUGAUUAUGUGUAUCAAGCCCGGAUGAACAUAGAAUAAGAUACAAUUGGCAUGUCAAUAGGUUAUUUUGCACGUGUACAGGAUUGACUUGUGAUGUGAUGAUAAUUCUUGACUUGUUUUAUCCACUGGAUAUACCGAAGUCUAGCAUUGUUGUGGAUUACUGAGUUAUAUAUAAAAUGAUUCUGGCGUGUUUUUGGGGGUAGAUGUAAAGCAUACGGGCUUGGCACUUGGUCCUAGGCGUGUUUUUGGAGGGAUGUUAGCCUACGGGCUAAGCACUUGGUGCUCAGGCAUGUUCUUGGUUCGAUUGGCUUGGUUGAGUACUUUGGCGUGUCUUGGGUGGAUAACCGCGUAUCUGUAUCUGUUUAUAUCGUUCAUCGGGUAGAUUUUUAAUGGUUAAAUAUUUUGCUAAUGAUUUAUAUAAAUGUUUACCUAUUUUUUGAUAUUAUCGUGACUUGGUAUUUAAUACCCUUUUAUGGUUGAGCAUAAUGUGUAAUUCAUUUUUUUAAAACUCACUUGUUCAAUGACUAUGGUUGACAAGGUUAAUGUCUAUUAACAAAGUUAUUAAUGUCAUGUUGUGUUUAUACGGUAAGUUUUUUUGUUUCAACCUGUGAACUUACAAAGCUCUGUUCAAGCUUACUCGUGUUGUUUUCAUAUUUCUUUGUAGAUAUCAUUUUGUGAAAUCAGAAGAUCGGAUCAACUUGAAAAUCACACUAUCUAGCUAUCUUUUGGUAGAUUUUGAUAUGUUUACUUUUGGGAUAUGUGACAUGUAAUAGGAGUGUAUAUGUUUUGAAUACUUAUGUGAUGUUUGUAUUUUAUAGUUAAUUAUGUGAUGUUGAACUAGUCAUGUAGUAGGAGCUUUUAGGUCCUUUUGCUAAAAUGAUGUUGUUUAAGCUUGGUUUAAGAAAACUUGUGUAUAUUUCUUUUGUUUUGGCUUGUAUAUAUCCAUAUAUAAGCGCAUUUGGUUAUGUGUUUUAUACUUUUUUGAAGUGGUUGAAAUAUGGUAAAAUUUCAUGUGAAUGUAAUGGCUGAAAUGGCAUGUUUGGCAUAUGUAUAAGGUAAGUGCUUGUGAUUUUUGAAUUUGAUUUUAGCUUGGUGUAUGAAAUGUGAUACCAUUGAGGGUAUAUUGGUUAGGCACUUAGGUUGAAUGUUUUGGUAGGUUUUAAGCAUGAUUAAAUGUGUUUUGAAGGUAUGGAAAUGGUUGAUAUUGGUUUGACUUGGUACCUAAGAAAUGGUUAAAUUUUUGCCUUGUUUUGGAAGCUAUUUAUUGUGCACAUGGCCUGAGACACAAGUUGUCACACGACCGUGUGUACGCCCGUGUACCACACACGGCCUCUUCACACGAUUGUAUGACUUAUUAAUUUUUAGGUGUAGGUUUCUCCACACGACUUCAGGUUGUUACACAGCCGUGUGACCCUACUUCAAAUUGCACACGGUCAUGUGACCCUAUUUCGAAUUGCACAUGAUCGGACACACGGCCUAGCGACUUGUUCGUGUGACCCUAUUUUCGAACUGUACACGGUUUGAUCACACGACGAUGUCUUAGAGCCACACGGUCUGGGCUCUGUCACACGACCAUGUGACCCUUAUCUUUAUUUUUUUAUAUUUUUCUUUUUUGUUUCAAAUAAGUCCCUACUUGUUUCUAAAUUGAUUUUAGGGUUUUGUAAGUUCGAUUUAAGGCAUGUAUUCGUAUAUAUGCUAUUGAUUAUGAUUGUACAUGAAUAAUUGAUAUUUAAAUCAAGAUGUGAAUGGUUUUAUGGUGUGUUGGAUUCGAAAAUUGUAGCAAUACUUUGUAACCCUAAUCUAGUGACAGAGACGGGUUAUAUGCAUUACAUGAAUAUUUUUUAUUAAGUUGUUUAGCUUAUUUUUAUGAGUAUAUUAUUCUCUUAGUAUUAAAAUAGUGUCCUUUUUUAUAUCACUUGCAGUAGUGGUUGGUGAAGGUUUAUUAACUAAAGCCUGAGUAUCUCUAUAUAUUGUGUCUAGUCUUCCUUUUAUAUUUUCUAUAUCAGGUAUUGCUAACACAGGGGCUGGUAAUCCUGUGGUUAUAUUUCUUUUAACGUUCACUAUACUAUUAUUUAUGGUCUGUAUUUGAGCGUUUGUAGUUAAUGAGAAAUCUUCUAAUCUUAGUCUUAGAGUUUCUAUUUUAUCCUGUAAGUCUACAAAUUGGGUUACUCCAAGGAUUAUUAAGUGGUUUAACUGAGAUACCUAGACUUCAUCUUGUCUUGAAACAAAGUUAAUAUCUUGUACUCCAGAAAGCCCUUUUUCAGUUACCUGCCUUGCUACUAGGUCUUUUGUAUUAUUAUACAAAACUAUUUCUUUAUUAUUAUUAAAACUCAUUUAGUGACCAACAAACAUAUCUGCCAAAGUAUUAAUUUUUUUCUUCUAGGUUUUUUACUUGUUUUCUAUUUUCUUAUUGAAAAUCAGUUAUUAAUUUUAUGGUUUGCUUUUCUACCGCUUUUGGAAGUUCAGUUAGUUCUUUUAUGUCUUUCUUAGAUGGAAAUUUAUUAGCUUUGUUUAAAUUCUUUCCUGUCCUUUUAGUUAAAUAUUCUAAUUGUGCUUUUAUAAAUCUUUGAUUAUUUAUUAUUUUUUGUAAUAAAUUUAUUUUUAAUGAAUUAUUAGAAGAUAAUUUUUGUCGUGUUAUAUGUUUUAGAUCUUGAAUUUUUUUUUAUCAAUGGUAUAUAAAUUUUCUAAAGAUUAAUUAUUAAGUCUACAAUGGUAUUUAAUUGUUUAUUUUUUUGGGUUUCGUUAAUAUUAUGUCAAAUGUGAGUAUAGUGUCUAUUUCCUUUUCUUUUAAAAUUACAGUUUAUUUGAUUUUUAUUAUUAUAAACAAGUUUUUUAUGAACGCUUGUUAUAUCAAGAUCUAAAUGAUAAAGGCGUCUAUCGGCUUCGUUAGGAUUUAUACCCCCUAUGGUUGCUAGUCAAAAUUUAACCCAACACUGAUAUUCUAGUGACCACAGAUAGGUUUUAUCUUAAUUAGGGUUACACACCGUGGUAGGAAAUGACUCCUCUUUAAGAAGAGUGUGUAACUUAAGUAUUUAAAGUUCCCAAUGACUAUCUUUCAUACAAGAAACUAAUCGUACGCUCUGAUACCAGAAAUAGUGGGGUUCUAAAGAAUAGUCGAUGUUUAGAAUACUUCGAAUUUUCCAGAUCAAAAUUUCUCUACAAGAAAAGAGCAUACACACUGUAAAUCAUACCUCAAGACAGUUGGUUUUGCUUGAAAUAUUGGGGGUCCAAAGAAUGGCCAGUGUUUACAAUGCUUUUGAUUUUCCAGAUCGAAAUUUAUCCGCAAGAAAAGAUCAUACACACUAUAAAUCGUACCUCAAGAAAGUUGGUUCUACCUGAUAAAUAGAGAAAGAAAGUUAUACUAAAUAAGCUUAUGGCUAAAUUCUCCAAGUAGUUGUCUAGAUAUAAGAGCCACAAUCUCGUGAGAGCCUGCUCCCUCUGCUUCACUGUCACGCCCUCUCUUAGCUAUGGUUACUAAAUUGAGGCCUUACACUUCUCUCUCUAUAUCUCAAACCAAGAAAACAUUUGAAGAACAAAAGACUAAAUUUUUAUAACUUCAAAAGAAAUUACAAACCUCUAGAGUAGUAAUAAAUAUGUUUUGCUCUCUC